UGGCUCAGAACGAACGCUGGCGGCAGGCUUAACACAUGCAAGUCGAGCGCCCCGCAAGGGGAGCGGCAGACGGGUGAGUAACGCGUGGGAAUCUACCCUUGACUACGGAAUAACGCAGGGAAACUUGUGCUAAUACCGUAUGUGUCCUUCGGGAGAAAGAUUUAUCGGUCAAGGAUGAGCCCGCGUUGGAUUAGCUAGUUGGUGGGGUAAAGGCCUACCAAGGCGACGAUCCAUAGCUGGUCUGAGAGGAUGAUCAGCCACAUUGGGACUGAGACACGGCCCAAACUCCUACGGGAGGCAGCAGUGGGGAAUAUUGGACAAUGGGCGCAAGCCUGAUCCAGCCAUGCCGCGUGAGUGAUGAAGGCCCUAGGGUUGUAAAGCUCUUUCACCGGAGAAGAUAAUGAC
rnacentral:rRNA from 1 species